ensembl:lncRNA
CAGGGGUACAUAAAAUUCCACUGAGUCAGACGUAACUGAUUUAUUAGGGAAUUACUCUGGAAGAACUUCAUUAUAUCUGAACCCAAAAUCUUACCCCUUCUGGAACAUUUAAUGUGCUUAGCGCUUAGCAGCAAGAACUUGAAUGAAGGCAUUCCUGGCUCAAUCGGGAUCAAUCUCAGUACAAAAGCUGUGAAGAUGAGACCAGCUGGACAGCACAAAGCAAUGACAGCUUCACCUUCACCAGCGCUCCUUGGGAUGCAAACAGAAGACAGCAGGGCGAGUUCCUGCCUGCUGGAUGCCACAGCCCUGCCUGCACCCACUCACUGCGAGGCCAGGAGGCAUUCUGUGCGUGUACACUCAGCCCCAUACUGCUCCCAGGCAAUUGCACUUUGCUUUAGCUGAUAUUAAUAAUGAAGGAUUGGCUGCCGAUAGCUCUCAUUUCCAUGGGCACAUUGCCCCAAAACAGGAAAAAUGUCCAGGCUUUGAGUUGUGUAACCAGAAUGACCAGAAUUCAUAAUGGGAAGGAAGGAAGGCCAGAAAAACACAUUCACGUGCUGGGCAGUGACUGGCCUUGCAUGACCUCUGUAAGGCGCAGCUUCCCUCCCUGUCUAGCACGCCUCAUUCCUUAUUCUCUGAAAACAUCAGUCUGCACUUGCAGCCUUUGUCCCUUGGGUUCAAAUCUCAGCACCCCUCACUGCAUUCCUUCAGCUUUUCACCCACUCCUUUAUUAAGUUAUGUUCCUUCUGGUGAUGCCCCGCUGGAGCUUCCAUAGCAGAAGAUGUAACAGGAAUGCAAACAAUAGGAACAUUUAAGAACAUUCUACUUUCCUCUGCUGUGUCCACUUUGUUAAGAUUAUUUCCACAGCAAACAGCCAAGACAUCUCCUGCGACUGAUUUGGAUGUUAAAUCGUGCACUGAUAAUGCCUUCCCUUCAUCAAUACAUUCCAGAGCCUUCACAAAGCUUUUCUGGCCACGUGGCUAUCCGGUGAACUGCAGUAGUGGCAGCUAAUCAGAUUUCCCAGACCUGAAAUGGAGAAGUGUUAUGAACAAAGAGGAGUCGGAGUGGGCGUACAUUCCUCACCCUGCUAUGCCGGCAGGAUUGUAUCUCAGGCUUUCAGAGCAGGAAAAGGAUGUUGCAGGCGUAAUGGCAGGCAAUAUCAAUCAGAUAAGUCUAUCUAAUUACAGAGGGUCUAUCUAAUUACUAGAUUAACUCGUUAACCUUGCUUACACGAGCGCAACUGGCCAAAUACCACCAUAGAGAACUGAUUUAGAGAAACAAUUGCUCAACACGUUAAACAGCGUCUUGUAAGGACAGGUUUUGGAUCAGACAGCAGACUAUUGUGGGCUAAGACAAGUGGUUUGUGUAGGAGAGAACUGCAGCUGAAUCGCUAAUUAAUAGUAACCACAAAUUCAGCCUUCCUAGAAACAGAAUUGCACCAAAAGGACUGGAUAUUGACUCUAGAUUUUAGAGGGUUUGUUUUUUGAGGGAGCGAGCCAGCAAUAAAACACGUUCAGGGUGAAGGAAUUGCUUCAAUGGAGCCUCUGAAGGGAACGGAGGCAUUUGCCCCUAAUUCUCAAGUCUUUAUUCUAACACAGACUGCAGUAGUGGUGCUGCACGAAGCGUGGCUGUAUUUCUUGCUUUCAGCACAUUGUGGUGAGACCGUGCAGUAGGGAAGAAUGCUUUCGGACACCGGUGAGCACCCCGGGCUGAGGGCUGCAUGCAUUCCCCUCAGCCCACACCUUGAACCCCCGAGGAGCUACAGAGGAGCUUUGCCUCCUAAGAAGAACACGAGCCCCACGUUGAGGGGACUGACAGAGAUCUUAAAACCAGCUGGAAGGAACUGAGUGAACAGACACCACAGCUCCACACGAACCACCCCCACCAUUGGCCGCAUUACGCAUGCGCAGCACAGCGCGCAGGCACAACAACCGCGCGAAGCGAAG